rnacentral:pre_miRNA from 1 species
UUUGUACUCCCUCCGUCCCAAAAUUCUUGUCUUAAAUUUUUCUAAAUACGGAUGUAUCUAGUUACAUUUUAGUGUUAGAUACAUCCGUAUCUAAAAAAAUGUAAGACAAGAAUUUUGGGACGGAAGGAAUACUAC